UUAAAAAAUCAUCCUUUUUGGAAUAUCAUCAUCUCUCUCCGUCGACUUCCUGGAAAGCAACAUAUCUCGAAUCUUUGAACCCAUCUCAUCCUCGCCUCUACUCUGCGAAAGGUCGGAGAUUGGUGAGAAAGAUCAUCGAGGCUAUGGGUUGUAUCGGGAAUAGAACUUACCCGAACGAUGCGCUCAUGAAGGCCUCUAAAGUACUUGAACAUUGACGGGAGGGGAACCCCAUAGCCAGCAUUAUGCUUCUAUCCAACGGACACGAUGAACGGUCAAGGAGACAGAGAAACUGUUCCAGAUGGAAGCAAUGUUGAUAAUGGGCUGGACAGGACUCAUUCUAAGAAAAAUUCCGAGAGGAAGUUGCAUUUUCGGUGGAUCCUCUAUAUCAUCAGACAUCUACGAAAUUUGAUGAAGGUGGAGCCAAGGGUCUCUACAGUCCUACUGUUAUUCUUUUAAAGUGCCGGGAAAGUGCAAAUCAUUUUCAUCCCCAAAUGAAAUGGUUGUAACGUGAUUUAGCCAGUAAUUGGGUAUGGUUUACCGAGGGUGACUAAGGUACUGACAAAAGCAGAUCUAACUUGCUUUUAUGCUUUAUAGGUGCGUAGGCAAAUCAAGAAUAAUUACUCAUAAAGAAAAAGACAAAUUAUGAAUAAAAGAUUUUUAUUGAUUAGUUUCAACAGAUUGCCUCAGAUAGUUUUCAAACACUCCAUUCAUUUUCAACCCCUUUGAAAAUUGAAGCCUGAUAUGGUUGUUGAUUUGCUACAAACCAGUUUAAUAUGUACACCUUAUAAACCAGCAAACCGUUUAACACUUUAACAAGUUUCAAUCCGUUUAUUUGCAAAGAGUGAAGAGGUCCAAUUAUUCUGGAAAUUUUUUUUCUUCAAGUGGAAUAUUGUCAAACGCAUUUUACUUCUUAUUAUUUAUUCUAUAAUAUUUCAAAUAUUUUUUGUUUUACUUAUAAAAUUGGUAGGUUGCAAGAACUGAUAUUUAAUUAUAUUUGUCGACAUAUACUGAACAAUAUAUGCAAUAAAUUGGUACCGUCUUAUACUUA